AAGGAGGAUGAAAUGUUUCUUGAAAAUACAAAGUCAGAGCUUCAAAGGGGAAUGAGUAGUAGAUUUCUAACCAAUGUUGGAAGACUAACUGAAUGUGAUAUAGGGGAAAAAAGGUCACUGUAAAACAUAUAGCAGACAAGCUCUUAUGCAGCAUCCUAGCCCUCUAACUUCCAAGAUUUCCUACAGAAGUAUGAGCAGAACUAAGAGAGAACCAAACUAGAGGUAAGGAACUGUGGAGCUACUGGUACCCAGUCCUCUAGUUGGCUAGUGCCCUCCCUAGAAAAGUGACCUUAUAUUUAUUUUGAACAUGCAUACAUAUGUAUAGAGAUAACAGUGUCUGGCACAUACUAAGUGCUUAAUUAAUGUUGAUUGCUAGAUGUCCACAUAUGUAUGUAUAUACCUAAUAUAAACAUAGGAGAGGGAUCCAACUACAGAAAUAGGAACAGUUCUGCACAGAUUACAUAAUUUUAAAAAUAUGGUGACAACUCAUGUGACAUAACAAAAAUCUACUGCGAUUCAAGUCAGAGGAGUUUGGAUUAAAUCCCAAUGUGUAGGUACAUAUGCAUAUAAGCAUGUAUAUAUACAUGCAUAUCUCCCAUGAUAGAAUAUCAUGAUGGAAAAUAUCAUAAGUUUUUGUUUUUUGCAUCUC
rnacentral:lncRNA from 1 species